GCAACCCAACGUUUGCAUAUUCUAUGGGCUUCAGACUUUUGAUUGGUAUAGAAUUUGUCUAAUAAUCAAACCGGUGAAAUGUUGAAAAAAAUUUUUUUUUCUCACUUAUCAAUUAAUCAUAUCUUGGACUGAAAUUUGUUAUGCAACCCAUAAUAUGCAAUAUAUUUAUUGACGUAUUAAAUCAAAUAUAAAAUACGUUUCAUCAAAUAAACAUCUCGGUGAAGGUCGUUGUAUAUCGGGAUCUUAGAUAAUAUUGGUGUAAUUUACCAAAUGAUAGUGAAAUUAUUAAACAGAAAAUUAUGUAUACGAAUACAAUAACCCGAAUUGUAAUGUGGAGAGUACUUUAUGCAGAUCACAUAGAGACCCCAGCUGCGGUCUUUGAUGUGCAUUAUUAUUCACUGGAUGUGAAAAGCAGCGGACUUCCCCGAGUGAGAAGGGGAUUAGAAGAUGUGUAUAAGGUGAAUGUAAAAUCGUACGCAUACACAACUCUGUUAGAAAAUUGAAGGUAGUUCAAUUUUGUAUGGAGACGUACGGGAAUGUGAAGGUUGAAUAAAAGCAGCCAUUAUUUCUUUUAAAUAUCUUCAUUGUUUUUUUAUUUACCUGACAGAUAAAUCUAGGAAUCAUUUGGUUUUCCUUAAAAAUAUUCAGUCUCUGUUACAACUAUGAAUUUUUUUUUUCCCAUUUUUCAAAUAGGAAGAAUCAUCAUUCCAUCUUGCAAGAAAUAUUAUUUUGGACACUCAUACCCUCUAUGAUAGUAUCAGGUAUAAACUGCAAAGUACAGACCCUCAAAUAUGCAAAUUGACUUAUCGGCACAUUUCCUGUGCCAACCUCAGUCGAGUUAAUUUUGUUAUAAUAUUUAUGGGUAUAAAAAUUUUGAUCCAAUAGUUCGUGUAUCGAUGAGAUUAAACGUUGUAUAUUAUUGAAAACGAGAAUAUUUUCCUCAAGCUCAACUGCCAAGUACCAUACUAUAUUAUGUAAUG
rnacentral:misc_RNA from 1 species